rnacentral:rRNA from 1 species
AUUGAACGCUGGCGGCAUGCCUUACACAUGCAAGUCGAACGGUAACAGGUCUUCGGAUGCUGACGAGUGGCGAACGGGUGAGUAAUACAUCGGAACGUGCCCGAUCGUGGGGGAUAACGAAGCGAAAGCUUUGCUAAUACCGCAUACGAUCUACGGAUGAAAGCAGGGGACCGCAAGGCCUUUCGCGAACGGAGAGGCCGAUGGCAGAUUAGGUAGUUGGUGGGAUAAAAGCUUACCAAGCCGACGAUCUGUAGCUGGUCUGAGAGGACGACCAGCCACACUGGGACUGAGACACGGCCCAGACUCCUACGGGAGGCAGCAGUGGGGAAUUUUGGACAAUGGGCGCAAGCCUGAUCCAGCAAUGCCGCGUGCAGGAAGAAGGCCUUCGGGUUGUAAACUGCUUUUGUACGGAGCGAAAAGGCUCUCUCUAAUACAGGGGGCUCAUGACGGUACCGUAAGAAUAAGCACCGGCUAACUACGUGCCAGCCGCCGCUGUAACAC